rnacentral:lncRNA from 10 species
UUUUGCUGGCUUUUUAAAAAAGAUUCUUCUGAGAAAGAUUAAUACAAGUCUUCCAUUACUGACUUAAGUGAAAUAAAUUAAUGUACCCACAGCUUACCUUUUUUGAAAGAAAUGGUUGAGCUUUAGGAUUAAUGUCCAUUAGGCCUGUUCAACACAUAGAUACUUGAUAAUUUGACUACAAAAAAGUCUUGUUGCAGUGAGCUGAGAUCGCACCAUUGCACUCCAGCCUGGGCAACAAGAGUGAAACUCCAUCUCAAAAGAAAAAAAAAA